CGUGCGCUGGCACUGUUUCGCUCUUUCGCCUUCAUCGUGGGCCGCCGUCGAAGCUGCUGCUGCUCGUCGGUCUCCGCCAGGCCCACAAUCCGCGGAUUUGUCACGGGUGUGUGUGUGUGUGUGUGUGUGUGUGUGUGUGUGUGUGUGUGUGUGUGUGUGUGUGUGUGUGUUUGUGUGAGCGGGGCACUCAUUGUUCCUCGUGCGCAAUCGUUCAAGUCAUCGCGAGCCCGUCCGCUUAUUUCCGUUUGAAGCGCCCAUCGGUACAGUUCUACCUUCCUUCGGCCUGCUCCCAGCGGAUGACUGUUUGGCGUUGUAAAGGCAAAAGCCUCAACCCGUUCGUUCUGCUGUUCCUGCAUGGUUCUGGUGUUGGUGUGUUGCAGCGCGUGUCUGGCUGUCUGGUUCCUGCGGUGCGUGUUGCUGUGGUUGUGAGCAGUGGAGUGGAGGACCUGCCCUGCCGUCAAAGGAUUCUGGUGACUGUUUGCUGUGCUUGUGUGUGUGUGUGUGUGUGCCAAAACCCGUGAACCAAAACGCUCAAAACGCGAUCCGACAGUGAGGCGAAAACCCCAUGUGCGAGGGCCACCUGCAGUGUGAACGUUACGCGCGUAUCGUGCCAGAAGCGUCGUCCUCCCAGUCGCUGGCCACCGCGUCCAGCGACAGCUUCGUGUCCGUGUCGGUGUCGCUCGCGUCCUCGACCACGCCGCUGCUGCUGCGGUACCGCCCGAUCCGCGAUGAUCCGGAACGGGAGGAACCGGCCCGCGCUGAUACCGUCCAUGGACUGUCUGGUGGUGGUUCUGCUGCUGGUGCUGCUGCUCAUCACCGUGACGGUGAUGUGCGAGCUGCUGUGGCUGAUGCGCCAGAUGCUCGAGCUGCUGGGCGUGCUGGUCAGCCUGCUCGACCAGAUGGAGCUGCUGGUGAUGAUAGAGGGAUAUUUGAACCAGCUCCCGUUGCCGCUGCCGAUGCCGGACGGCGCCCGGAAUGUGACCCCGGGCCGAAGUCUCAGCGCGUAAAACCGUCCCGGCUGUUCGGGCGGCUGGUUCGCGGUCUGUUUAGCGGCCGGAAGAAGCACCGGCCAGCGACGGCCAGCGACGGCGUGCGCAACGAGGGUGCGGUAGAGUGAGCGGCUACGGGGCGAUGGGGCGAUGAGCUACGGGAGGAGCAAUCGGAAAACGUUACGUUUGGAAAAUACUGAUAAAUUUAUAUAAAUUUUAAAACAACAGACAUUGUGUAGUUCGUGGUUCGUGUAGCAAAAGAUAUUGGCGAAUUUCUUUCUGGUAAAGUUCUUUUUUUGGACAAUAAAAAAUCAUUUGGCACAGAAGAAAA